UUUUUCUUCUUCCUCUCUUUUUUUCUUCAUCUUCUUGGCAACGUGAGUUACAAGUAGUUGGCAACGAUAGCGUGAUGAAAGUUCAAUUGUCUUUGGCGAGAGAAAAAUCGAUUGUGACACAAUGAAUGACAAGAUCGAGAUGAAUGGAGGAGUCUUGAGUUGAAUAUGCUGUCGUGGUGGUCGACAUUUAUUGAGGUUGUAGUGGUCGACAAGGAUGGGUGCGCCUAUGAAAAACUUGAUUAAGCGAAAAU
rnacentral:lncRNA from 1 species